rnacentral:rRNA from 1 species
AGAGUUUGAUCAUGGCUCAGAACGAAUGCUGGCGGCGUGGAUAAGACAUGCAAGUCGAACGGGAUUUGUUUUUGUAGCAAUACAAGGCAAGUCUAGUGGCGUAAGGGUGCGUAACACGUGGGGAAUCUGCCGAAAAGUGGGGGAUAGCUCGCCGAAAGGCGAAUUAAUACCGCAUGUAGUUAGCGAGGUCAUCCUCGUAAUACCAAAGCCGGGGCAACCUGGCGCUUUUUGAUGACCCCGCGGCCUAUCAGCUAGUUGGUGAGGUAACGGCUCACCAAGGCUAUGACGGGUAGCUGGUCUGAGAGGACGACCAGCCACACUGGAACUGAGACACGGUCCAGACACCUACGGGUGGCAGCAGUCGAGAAUUUUUCUCAAUGGGGGAAACCCUGAAGGAGCGACGCCGCGUGGAGGAUGAAGGUCUUCGGAUUGUAAACUCCUGUCAUUUGGGAACAAUGUGCAUGGAUUAACUGUCGAUGCAUUGAUAGUACCAGAAGAGGAAGAGACGGCUAACUCUGUGCCAGCAGCCGCGGUAAUUC